rnacentral:tRNA from 2 species
GCCGGGGUGGCCUAGCUGGUUAGGGCGCGAGACUCAUAGGGUAAUUGCGAAGAACGCGCCUGAGUCAUCUCGAAGUCGCGGGCUCGAAUCCCGCCCCCGGCA